UACGAAGGGGGCUAGCGUUGCUCGGAAUCACUGGGCGUAAAGGGUGCGUAGGCGGGUCUUUAAGUCAGGGGUGAAAUCCUGGAGCUCAACUCCAGAACUGCCUUUGAUACUGGCGAUCUUGAGUCCGGGAGAGGUGAGUGGAACUGCGAGUGUAGAGGUGAAAUUCGUAGAUAUUCGCAAGAACACCAGUGGCGAAGGCGGCUCACUGGCCCGGUACUGACGCUGAGGUGCGAAAGCGUGGGGAGCGAACAGG
rnacentral:rRNA from 1 species